rnacentral:tRNA from 1 species
AUUAUUUAUAUAUAUUGAAUUGAUAUUUCAAAGAUUUUCUAAAUGAAAUUAAUAUU